rnacentral:rRNA from 1 species
AGCGAACGUUAGCGGCGCGCCUAACACAUGCAAGUCGCACGAGAAACGGAGCAAUCCGCGGUACAGUGGCGCACGGGUGAGUAACACGUGGAUGACCGUUCCCUGGAGUGGUGGAUAACCUGCCGAAAGGCGGGCUAAUACAGCAUGGGACCACGACGCUUUGGCGAUGUGGUGAAAGCGGGCCUCUAUAUAUAAGCUCGCGCUCCGGGACGGGUCCGCGUCCCAUCAGCUAGUUGGUGAGGUAACGGCUCACCAAGGCUUCGACGGGUAGCUGGUCUGAGAGGAUGGCCAGCCACACUGGAACUGAGACACGGUCCAGACUCCUACGGGAGGCAGCAGUGGGGAAUCUUGCGCAAUGGGCGAAAGCCUGACGCAGCGACGCCGCGUGGGCGAAGAAGGCCUCGGUGUAAG